rnacentral:rRNA from 1 species
UACGUAGGGUGCGAGCGUUGUCCGGAAUUACUGGGCGUAAAGAGCUCGUAGGUGGUUUGUCGCGUUGUUCGUGAAAACCGGGGGCUUAACCCUCGGCGUGCGGGCGAUACGGGCAGACUUGAGUACUGCAGGGGAGACUGGAAUUCCCGGUGUAGUGGUGGAAUGCGUAGAUAUCGGGAGGAACACCAGUGGCGAAGGCGGUUGCCUGGAGCUUUGCUGACGCUGAGGCGCGAAAGCGUGGGGAGCGAUCCGG